rnacentral:rRNA from 1 species
AUGAACGCUGGCGGCGUGCCUAAUACAUGCAAGUCGAGCGAACGGACGAGAAGCUUGCUUCUCUGAUGUUAGCGGCGGACGGGUGAGUAACACGUGGAUAACCUACCUAUAAGACUGGGAUAACUUCGGGAAACCGGAGCUAAUACCGGAUAAUAUUUUGAACCGCAUGGUUCAAAAGUGAAAGACGGGCUUGCUGUCACUUAUAGAUGGAUCCGCGCUGCAUUAGCUAGUUGGUAAGGUAACGGCUUACCAAGGCAACGAUGCAUAGCCGACCUGAGAGGGUGAUCGGCCACCCUGGAACUGAGACACGGUCCAGACUCCUACGGGAGGCAGCAGUAGGGAAUCUUCCGCAAUGGGCGAAAGCCUGACGGAGCAACGCCGCGUGAGCGAUGAAGGUCUUCGGAUCGUAAAACUCUGUUAUUAGGUAAGAACAUAUGUGUAAGUAACUGUGCACAUCUUGACGGUACCUAAUCAGAAAGCCACGGCUAACUACGUG